GUGCGGAACUUCUGUCAGCGGUGACCUCCCAGGGACAUGAGAGCUUAAUUCGAAGUUCCGGGUGAUAAACCCCUCCGCUUCAAUUCAUUAAACUUGGGGCUGUUCCCAUGCCCCAGCAGUUCACACGGAUUGUUUGGGACCCGGAUUGUUUGGGACCUUUUACGCAGGAAGUGCGGCACUGACAGAGGAAAUAAGCUACCCCGGAAGGAAAAGUAAUCGACGUCAGAGAUAUACGUACGGGAGUGAACUUUCUGGUUAGAUCCUACAGUCCUGUGUGUAUAUAUCCUUGUGCUUGGAAUAAUCUUACUAGAUUUGUAUCCUAGACUAGGACAUGGAUCCAGGCCAAUAUACCUCCAGUUUUGUUUGGUGCUGUAGCCAACAAACCUGAACUUUCUCUUAUAGUAACAAAAGUGUAAAUUAAAUCUCCAAACUGAAGCUAAAUACUAAACAGGUAAAAUCUGAAGGAAAAAAAGAAGUUGCAGCUAAAUGGAAAAGCAGCCACAAAUUCUCCCUGCGAAUAGAGGCAAAUAAAGGAUAUAACAGAGCUGGUUUUAUCAUAUGUCUUAUCAUAUGUCCAAAGGCAACAAGAAACAUCAUUUCAUGGGAUACUUGGUCACUUUGAAUUUCAGAGAUCAUGUUAAACAUUUGUAAAAAGAACACUAUGAAUUGCAAAUUGUGUGCCAACAUCUGGCAGAGAAAUACUAUGAACAUGAAAAGAUCCUUCAAAUUAAACCAUCAAUUAAUACUUAACUUAAUGUUAAAAUAAGCAUAGGGGAUGACUGUGAAAAAAUAUUUUAAAAUAUUUCUUAGGUCUAAGAAACAAAAAAAAAGCAAAAAGCUUCUAGAUUAAGUAAGAAACCUCAUAAUUAUAUACUAUGUACACUAUUUAAGUGAAUUAGAGUUACAGAAUACUUAAGAGCUCCUCCUUGUUCCUCCCUCCCUUCACUUCCCAAUGAAGCUGAUUAUAAUUUGACAGGAAACGAGUUAGCUGCUACUGUGGAAAAUCACUCUAAGCCAACUUUUUUUGUACAGUAAGGUCCACAACUUGUUAGAGGGAACCCCUUUCACUCUAUUUCCCUCAAAUUAAUAUCACAUUAGAUGAAUUUAAUGAGAUGAUAUGUUGAAUAAAAAAAACUCUUAUGACUUUUUAAAACAAGCUUUUGAUGCUUCUAAAUUAAAACCAGGUAAAAUAAUAGAUGUUAAUAUUUCCUAUUAAUUAUUUCCCAAGCAAAUGUAACUAGCAUAAAUCAAUAUCACGAGGAAAACAAAAGAGUUUAGACAUUUUCAUCUCCUUAUUAAACAAAGAGACGUGGCAACCAAGCUUUGAAUAUAAAAACCAUUAGGGAGAAAAAUGGUGAAAGAUUAUGCAUUGUAUCAUCUCUUAAAACAGUGAAGUUGAGGAAAGUAAAAAUUAGUUUCUGGAAAGAUGAUGAGAGAACCAAUCAUUUUAAAUCACUUUAAGAAUAAUUAAAGAUGAACCUAGAAGGGUUUAAACAUGAAACAUGAUACAUUCAGAUUUCUACUUGAUUUUUAAAAGUUAUAUGAAUAUGUCACAACAUCUAGACCCUAAUGUAGCCCUCUAUCUGCUGCAUGAAGUAAAAUUGACAAAGAAAAACUGAAAUGGGAAGAGCAGCCAAAUUAGACUGAAGUAUAUACAAUGGAGGAUCAUGCUGGAGAUGACACAUUUUUGAGGAUGCUAGGUGACUGAUUCUUGAAGAAUGAGAAAGAAGAGACGCCCAUGUGUUUGGAAACAAUAGAAACAACAACAAAGCUGCCAACCAAAAAUCCUACUUUUCCAUCCUGACAAAAUCUCUAUGAAAAGAAUCUAAAAAUAAAUCAAAGGCAAACUUUCUAAAAACAUGAAACAUAGUUAACCUUUGUAUAAUCUGAAGCUUAUGAAAA